AAGUCGUAACAAGGUUUCCGUAGGUGAACCUGCGGAAGGAUCAUUAUUGAAUUUUUGGAGGUUGUAGCUGACUCUUCUGAGUAUGUGCUCGCCUUCAACUCUUCUCUUUACCACCUGUGCACCUUUGUAGUCUCUUGAUACCUCUCAAAGAGUUCAUUCUCUUUGGAUUGAUGGACUUGCCUUCAUUGGCUUGUCUUCAAUUUCUUGAGACUAUGUCUUACAAACUCUAUAUAAAACCAGAAUGUCUUUUGUAGUGUCUUUAUAUGACCUAUAAACUUAUACAACUUUUAACAACGGAUCUCUUGGCUCUCGCAUCGAUGAAGAACGCAGCGAAAUGCGAUAAGUAAUGUGAAUUGCAGAUUUCAGUGAAUCAUCGAAUCUUUGAACGCACCUUGCACCCUUUGGUAUUCCGAAGGGUAUGCCUGUUUGAGUGUCAUUAAAUUCUCAAACCUUCAACUUUAUUGUUGAAGGCUUUGGAUGUGGGAGUCUUUGCUGGACGCUCUUGAGUGGUCAGCUCUCCUUAAAUGCAUUAGUGGUUACUGAUUCCACUACUUGGUGUUGAUAGUCUAUCUUACGCCCUGUAGUGAAGUCAACUUAUGUAUCUGCUUCUAACUGUCGCUCUUUUGCGACAAUUUAUUGACUAUUUGACCUCAAAUCAGGUAGGACUACCCGCUGAACUUAAGCAUAUCAAUAAGCGGAGGAAAAGAAACUAACAAGGAUUCCCCUAGUAACUGCGAGUGAAGCGGGAAAAGCUCAAAUUUAAAAUCUGGCGGUUCUUGUAGUCGUCCGAGUUGUAAUUUAGAGAA
rnacentral:misc_RNA from 1 species